CCUACGGGGGGCAGCAGUAGGGAAUAUUGCACAAUGGGGGAAACCCUGAAGCAGCAACGCCGCGUGGAGGAUGAAGGUUUUAGGAUUGUAAACUCCUUUUGUUAGAGAAGAUUAUGACGGUAUCUAACGAAUAAGCACCGGCUAAAUCCGUGCCAGCAGCCGCGGGAAUACGGAGGGUGCAAGCGUUACUCGGAAUCACUGGGGGGAAAGGGUGCGUUGGCCGGGUAAUAAGUCAGAUGUGAAAUCCCGUGGUUUAAUUACAGAACUGCAUUUGAAACUGUUACUCUGGAGUGUGGGAGAGGUAGGUGGAAUUCUAGGUGUAGGGGUAAAAUCCGUAGAGAUAAAGAGGAAUACUCAUUGCGAAGGCGACCUGCUGGAACAUUACUGACGCUGAUGCACGAAAGCGUGGGGAGCAAACAGGAUUAGAUACCCCAGUAGUC
rnacentral:rRNA from 1 species